UACGUAGGGACCGAGCGUUGUCCGGAAUCAUUGGGCGUAAAGAGCGUGUAGGCGGCUAUUUAAGUCCUGCGUGAAAUCCUGCGGCUCAACCGCAGACGGUCGUGGGAAACUGGAUGGCUAGAGUGCGGGAGAGGAGAGUGGAAUUCCCGGUGUAGCGGUGAAAUGCGCAGAUAGUCGGGAAGAACACCCGUGGCGAAGGCGCUCUCUGGAACGCAACUGACGCUGAGACGCGAAAAGCGUGGGGAGCAA
rnacentral:rRNA from 1 species